UACGAAGGGGGCUAGCGUUGCUCGGAAUCACUGGGCGUAAAGCGCACGUAGGCGGAUUGCUAAGUCAGGGGUGAAAUCCUGGAGCUCAACUCCAGAACUGCCAUUGAUACUGUCAAUCUUGAAUAUGGUUGAUGUGGGCGGAAUAUGACAUGUAGCGGUGAAAUGCUUAGAUAUGUCAUAGAACACCAAUUGCGAAGGCAGCUCGCUACACGAAUAUUGACUCUGAGGCACGAAAGCGUGGGGAUCAAACAGG
rnacentral:rRNA from 1 species